UGCAACCAUGCUAGUUUCUUCUUGGAUUUCUUGUUUUUCUUUUUUAAUGGUAUUGUGUUGGACUGGGCUCUUAUCAUAUUUUUCAGAGUUUGAUAAUGGGCUUUUACUAACUCAUAAUUGUUACCUUCUUAUGUUGUAAUUGUCAGUUUUUAGCUGUUUGCUUGGCUUGUUCAAGAACAAUUUUUCUGAGUUCACACACUUUCUCUUUUUCCCUUUUUCCUCACUGAUUACAAAACUGUUAACUUUUUUGAUUCAUGCUGCCAACAAGUAAGUCAUUUCAAGGUAGAAAAUAGGGUGUGGUUUGCAGGAGAUAGUGCCAGUGGUGGGAUUCAGCCUGUUCAUACCGGUUCAGGAGAACUGGUAGCUAAAUGUUAUUGAGUUCGGAUAACUGAUUGAACCUACAUUGCUUCUGGAAGUCUGUUCUAGGCCUGGGAGGCCUGGAGGAGGCCUCCCAAGCCUAGAACGGCCCACAGGAAGUGUGUGGAUGUCACUUCCAGAAGUCCAUUCUAGGCCUCGGAGGCCCAGGCCUGCACCCACGCAGAGAACCAGUUGUUUGGGUAUUUGAAUACCACCACUGGAUAGUGCCUAGAUCUGUAGGUGAUGACCAGGCUGAGCCUGAGAGAGGGGUCAAAUGCAUCAUCAGUCUUGAGCCCCCUGGCACCCACAAGAGAGCCAAGUCCAGCCCACCUUGAUUUCUGUUGACUCUUACGUUCUACUAAUUUGCUUUGACCAUUAGUAGUUCAUAUUCUUGUUGAGAGCUUAAGCUUGCAAUAAAUCUAUAUAUUCAUUUGAACUGCCUGGAUCCUGAUUUUCUGUGCUUGACAAUAUGAGUGUUAGCUGUAGGGAUAGAGGUCAUGUAAAGUUUGUGUGUAGCACACUGCCUCGGCUCAAAUACAUGAUCUCACCCCGUUCAUAUCACCAUGGUGAUGUAGGAAACUACCUCAGGCUGGUACAUGAUUUCACCUGGUUCACAUGAUCUCAUCUCGUUCACACCAACAGGAUGUAGCAGAAAACUGCCCCUGUUGGUGCCCCUGGCUGAUAUAUUCUUAAGGAUUGACAAGGAGAAUCUACCAAUAAAAAUGCCGUUGCUAUGCUGUUGCUAUGUUAUCUUUUGCUGUUUGGAAAACUGUAUAAAGCAAUAAACGCUGCAAAAGGCAGUGAGUUAUAUUGGCAUCCUGCUAUGACUGGUCUCUGAUUCCGACAGCUGGAGGCCCCAGCGAGAUCACCCCCCCAUGGGUAGCAACAAUCAACAUAUUUACCAGCAUCUGGAACAGACCUCUAGGUGAACCUUCGUCCUCUGGGACCCCUCAGUGGACAUUUGUGGAUUCCAGCGCAUUGUGUCCGCCCAGCCAAGGAUGUCAUGGCACCAGUCCCUGGAUCCAGUCCCAGAAAUGGCAAGGGUGACUCUACAGAUGGCACAGCGACCAAUCCGAUCCCGUUGUGCUAAUCAGCCAGUGACGUGGGGAGAUGUGAAGAACCUGACCACCAAAGCCCAGGCAGUGCUGCAGCAGCAGCAAGUAGAACAAACCCCCGAGAACUUAUGUAUAAAGCAAUAAACACUGCGAAAGGCAGUGAGAUAUAUUGGCA